AGACCAUGAUGAGGGCAUUUUCUUAGUAGCUCUUUGAACCUUUCCCAAGUUUCAUAUAAGAAUUCCCCGUCCUCUUGUGAGUAUGUAUUAAUUUCAGUCAUUAUAAAUUU
rfam:Helianthus annuus linkage group 15, whole genome shotgun sequence.